rnacentral:tRNA from 1 species
AAAUAAGAAGCAAAAUUUGCAUUUAGUUUCGACCUAAAAAUUUGGUGUUUACCCUUAUUUA